AUUGAACGCUGGCGGCAGGCCUAACACAUGCAGGUCGAGCGGAUGAGGGUAGCUUGGUCCGGGAGGCAGGGGCGGACGGGUGAGUAAUGCCUAGGGAUGGGGGGGGUAGUGGGGGAGAACGUCCGGGAACGGGGGCUAAUAGGGCAGACGGCGUUAGGGAGAAAGGGGGGGGUCGUCGGACAGGGGGCCAGGAUAGGAGCCUAGGUCGGAUUAGCUAGUUGGUGGGGUAAAGGCCUACCAAGGCGACGAGGCGUAACUGGUCUGAGAGGGUGAUCAGGCACCCUGGAUCUGAGACGCGGUCCAGACUGCUAAGGGAGGCAGCCGUGGGGACUAUUGGACGAUGGGCGAGUGCCUGAUCCAGCCAUGCCGCGUGUCUGAAGAAGGUCUUCGGAUUGUCAAGCACUUUAAGUUGGGAGGCAGGGCAGUAAGUUAAUAGGUUGCUGUUUUGACGUUACCCACAGAAUAAGCGCCGGCUAACUUCGUG
rnacentral:rRNA from 1 species